rnacentral:rRNA from 1 species
AGAGUUUGAUCCUGGCUCAGGAUGAACACUAGCUACAGGCUUAACACAUGCAAGUCGAGGGGCAGCAUGUUGGUUGCUUGCAACCAAUGAUGGCGACCGGCGCACGGGUGAGUAACGCGUAUCCAACCUACCCUUGUCCAUCGGAUAACCCGUCGAAAGGCGGCCUAACACGAUAUGCGGUUCUCAGCAGGCAUCUAACGAGAACGAAAUGUGAAGGAGAAGGAUGGGGAUGCGUCUGAUUAGCUUGUUGGCGGGGUAACGGCCACCAAGGCGACGAUCAGUAGGGGUUCUGAGAGGAAGGUCCCCACAUUGGACUGAGACACGGUCCGAACUACCUACGGAGGCGA